AGGAAAUAAAGAAGAUGCUCUAGCAAGGUGAUGAGAAUUACUCCAUUAGCUUCUCCUAAUAAAAACAACUUGAUAGGUUGGGUUCUCUACUUCUCUUCUAAAAUGACUCUUCCUAGCUCGGAAUUAGCGACAGCCACAGAUACUACUCUCUCUCAGCAAUUGUCUCCAAAAUGACGUUUUGAAGACCUAAGGAUUGCAGGAAUUGUAGUGCCGAAAGGAGGCUCCAAGCUUCGCCUAGCUUCAGUGACUGUCAAACAAGGGUGUCUUCUAAUGAUUUUCACUCACACCAAUCUCCCUCUGUCAUCACGAUUACAAAUGCCAGCUGCUGUUGUAUUUUGUGCUUGGAAAAAUUAUAAACACCAUCCACAUUACAUUUCAUGCGAAUUUGGAUAAGCUUUGUUGCCCCACACUUUAUCAUUC
rnacentral:lncRNA from 1 species